rnacentral:tRNA from 1 species
GGAGGGGUGGCCGAGUGGUUAAUGGCAGCGGACUGUAAAUCCGCCCUCUUAUGAGUACGUUGGUUCGAAUCCAGCCCCCUCCACCA